rnacentral:rRNA from 1 species
GCAUCGAUGAAGAACGCAGCGAAAUGCGAUAAGUAGUGUGAAUUGCAGAAUUCAGUGAAUCAUCGAAUCUUUGAACGCACAUUGCGCCCCUUGGUAUUCCAUGGGGCAUGCCUGUUCGAGCGUCAUUUGUACCUUCAAGCUCUGCUUGGUGUUGGGUGUUUGUCUCGCCUCUGCGCGUAGACUCGCCUCAAAACAAUUGGCAGCCGGCGUAUUGAUUUCGGAGCGCAGUACAUCUCGCGCUUUGCAUUCAGAACGACGACGUCCAAAAGUACAUUUUUACACUCUUGACCUCGGAUCAGGUAGGGAUACCCGCUGAAGUUAAGCAUAUCAAUAAGCGGAGGA